ACAGAAGUGAGAUGACCGUUUGGAAAGUGUUGCAAUAGGACACACACAUUGUGCCACCGCUGUGGCGUGAAGGCCUACCACCUUCAGAAGUUGACCUGUGGCAAAUGUGGCUACCCCGCCAAGUGCAGGAGGACGUAUAACUGGAGUGCCAAGGCUAAAAGACAAAAUGCCACCAGGACUGGCCGAACGAGGCACCUAAAAAUUGUACACCACAGAUUCAGGCAUGGACUCCGUGAGGAAACAACACCUAAACCAAAGAGGGCAGCUGUUGGAGCACUUUGAUCAG
rnacentral:lncRNA from 1 species